rnacentral:rRNA from 1 species
GAUCCAUGGCUCAGAUUGAACGCUGGCGGCAGGCUUAACACAUGCAAGUCGAGCGGUAACAGGGGAGCUUGCUCCUGCUGACGAGCGGCGGACGGGUGAGUAACGCGUAGGAAUCUGCCUAGUAGAGGGGGACAACAUGUGGAAACGCAUGCUAAUACCGCAUACGCCCUGAGGGGGAAAGGAGGGGAUCACUUGUGACCUUUCGCUAUUAGAUGAGCCUGCGUGAGAUUAGCUAGUUGGUAGGGUAAAGGCCUACCAAGGCGACGAUCUCUAACUGGUCUGAGAGGAUGACCAGUCACACUGGGACUGAGACACGGCCCAGACUCCUACGGGAGGCAGCAGUGGGGAAUAUUGGACAAUGGGCGCAAGCCUGAUCCAGCCAUGCCGCGUGUGUGAAGAAGGCCUUAGGGUUGUAAAGCACUUUCAGGGGUGAGGAAGGG